CUUGUAUCCUGAUGCAUAUUUUUACAUAUUUGUUUUUCAGGCUCUAAUCCAGAGAAAUGUUAAAGGAACCUUUAUAAUAACUGAGUGACUGAUAGAGUGGUCAUAGCAUAAUAUGGUCCUUCUAAUCUUCACUAUCCAGAUGGGCAGUGAGGCUGUACCUAGCCUUGUGUUACCAUGUGGUUUUACAGGUAACCCAUUAAAGCCUUGGACAGUAUGAAGGGAUGAGAUGAUGCCACAUCUGCCAUUUAGAUAUCAUACUUUUUUCACAUGAUAUCUUUAGAUAUCUUACUUUUUUUACCUCUAAGUAACACAUUCUGAAAAUGAGUUGAUACUCGUCUCAUUCUACUUUUAGAAUUUCCAGUAUCCCUCACCAUUGCAACAAGGCAAUAAUCCAUCUAUGCCACUGAAAUGAGUGAGUAUUCUGUACGCUUACAUUUCCUCAGUUUUUAAGAUACAUUCCACUAAAAACUCUCUCCAAUAUUACUAAUAAGCAUCAGCAUUUAUCAUAUUCUUCUGAAAAGUAGUAUGUGUUUAAUAUUUGUAGUGGUCAAUAUAUAUUUUCAUAGUAUCAAUCACUGUAAUAUUCACCAUGGAAUAUUUGCAGAUAUCCUUAAGAGAAAUGAGGAUCUCCUCAGAAGACUUAGUUUGUGAAGAUUACAAGUAGCCAGAUCUAUAAAUAGAUUCUUUAAUGGUGUAAUGACUUUGUGAACAUGGUGGUGUGCAUGUAGAUGAGUUCUAUUAAGUAGAUUUUUCUCAGUAUGUAUUUUUCAGAGACAAAUCCAGACAUCAUGGUGAAGCAUCAAUACUGUCAAAUGGAAAUUGCUGCAAUCCAUAAAGUACUGGUCUGGGCUAAAAUAACUUCCUACCUGCAUAUCUGCUAGAAAAGCAUUCCUACUAAAAGCAUUAAGGAGGUUGUCAACAACUACGUAUAUGAAAGUUAGAUGUCCUGUCCCAUGUAGGCUACCAAUAUGUUUUCCCCAAUACCAACAAUAUUUCCCCCAGAUUCCUUUUCUGCUUGCUGUGACUUAUCAGUCUACCUCUAAGUAACACAUUCUGAAAAUGAAUUGAUACUCGACUCAUUCUACUUUUAGAAUUUCCAGUAUCCCUCACCAUUGCAACAAGGCACUGAUCCAUCUAUGCCACUGAAAUGUCUACAGCAUACACGAACAGAGACUGGCAUUGUUUCGUGCAGGUAUGUGUUAAAAUUGUAUGAUGGUCACCAUGGUCACUAACAUCGUGACAUUAAAUGUUAAUUAUCCACAAAUACAAUACAAUCUUGUGAGCAUUACUAAUAUUGGUGGGGUAAUACUUUAAGGGCCUCUGUGCUAUAUAGGACAGAGAAAUUGUAGUCUGACCUAUAAAUGUUGAAAGUUUGAUUACAUGCUACUGUGUUGUUACUGUUUCUAAUCUUAAGAACCUGUUCUUGUUGCUUGUUUUUGACAGGUCUAUACAUAUGUACAGCAUAUGUGGCUAUACUCACCUCCUGUUACUGUCUGGUAUUGUCCUUCUUUACCUUCUGAACCCCUUCUUCUUCCCCCUAACACUCAGUGACUAUACCAUUAGAGAAAAUGAUACCUUUCCUCCAAACAACAAUUAACAUUCAUUACCUCCUCAGGAAGAGUUGGAGCUUCAUGUGGUAUGCAGUUACGGUUGUAAUGGCGGUGUCAUAUCUGGAUGGCAGCAUUUUGUAAACUCAUAGAAGGAUCUUAACAUGGUAUCCACUUAAAAAAAAAUGGGAGUGCCCUUACAAUAUUGUGCCCAUGACCAUCUGUAGGUAUCCAGAUAAUAGAGGUGGAUCCCCACUGAUUAGUGACCUUGGGAAUUUUAAUGCAAGGUAAAUGAUGGUGGUGCCACUGGACAUUUUUAAUAUGUUUUUUUUUAGCUGCUAAGCUCAGAAAUCAUGAAUUUUUGAAGCUCUGGUAAACAUGAGUUUGUGAAUGUAUAUGGCAAGAACAUCGGUGUUGAAACUGUGGAUAUGGAAGAAUUGACUGUUAUUCUUCAGCUAAAGCAGUGGGAAGAAUAGUGUGUUUUGAGAUUUCUGAUCAAUAAAUUUUAGAUGUUCUUAAGUUAUGGAAAUUAGAAGCAUUUUGAAUAUCCAGGUAAAUUGUAGUUCCAUAAACAAUCAUUAUGGGCAGGGCAAUGGUCCUAGCCAAAGCUAAGUAUCUAUUUUGACAAACAUUUUCCCCCGAGUUUUCCCUUCUCAUUUCCUUCAAGAAAAUCAAAAUAACACCUUCAAAACUGUGUCCAUUUGUGUGUAUAUUGGCAGAAGCUCACACAGUGCUCCAAACAAUGUUCAUGGGGGGAUUUAGUGGCAAUAUGGACUAUGGUCACACAUGUGCAGACACCCUUUGUCACAGGUAAGUUGUCAAAACACAAAUGUGCCCAUAACAACCUUACUAAGCUUUAUGUUCAUCGUCAUUGUUAACAGUAAUGUUCAUUUCACAAACAUAAUGAUAGUGGUUUAAUCCUGAUUUGGUCAUUUUGUUCAUUACCAUCAUGAUGGACAAUGAAAUUUUUGCCAAUAUCCUCUUUUUACAUGAUCACUUUUCAUAAGGAGGCUGCUAGUCUUUGGAAUUCUGUAAAUAUCCAAGUAUCAUGAAGGGAUAUAGUGACUGGGAAUAAUUUGCACUCUAGAAUACUCAUAUGCUGUGACAUUCUGAGACAAGUCAAAGCAUCACAGUGAGAUAGAUAAUGUGUGUUAUGUAAAACAUUAGCGGUAAUCAGGUUACUGGCAUGAGUGAGACUCAGGAUCUCUGAACUUCAUUUACACAGGUAAGGGACAACGAUAAUAAAAGUACACUAGAAGCAAGCCAAUCCUCUACAUUGAAGUCACUGAGGAGUACUUGCGACCACUAUGUUGUCAUGUUUCUUUUCAGAGGCAAGUCAAGACAUCAUAGUGUGCUGUUAAUGGUAAUCAAAGGGGAAUGUCACUGAUAUUAAGCUUCUUUGGAUCUAUGGAUUGUAGCAUGGGCAUCCCAUAUUUUAUGGAUAAUAUCAACUUAUAAGUGAGUACAUAUCAUGCAUGUCCUUUGGGGACUGGGUCACCUCACUAAGGAUGAUAU